GAAAUGUGCCCGAAUAUCUAAGGGUUACUUUGAUAGAGUAAACCACAGGGGUUUAAACCCCCUCAUUUCCUUAGGAAGACAGGAUUCGAACCUGCACCAAGAAACUCAAAAUAACUCGUACUCCAUUAUACAACCUCC
rnacentral:misc_RNA from 1 species